rnacentral:lncRNA from 1 species
GGCUUGCUAGAACUCCAUUCAUUGGGACAAUCCUUUUGUAAUGCCCUGUCUAUUUGCACUUAUAGGGCUCUACUAGUGUUCUGCCCCUGGAAUUUGGCCUUUCCCUUUGGCAGGACCUCCUCUGCCUUGUCUCCUCCCACGCGCUUGACUCCCUUUCAUAUACAGAUCAUCACCUUUGAGUGUGGGACAGAAGUACAUAUGUGAU